rnacentral:rRNA from 1 species
AUCCACCUGGGGAGUACGUCGGCAACGAUGAAACUCAAAGGAAUUGACGGGGGCCCGCACAAGCGGAGGAACAUGUGGUUUAAUUCGAUGAUACGCGAGGAACCUUACCUGGGCUUAAAUGUAGGACGAUUUUUGCCGAAAGGCAUUUUCCCUUCGGGGCGGCCUACAAGGUGCUGCAUGGUUGUCGUCAGCUCGUGCCGUGAGGUGUCGGGUUAAGUCCCAUAACGAGCGCAACCCUCAUCGUUAGUUGCCAGCGGGUAAUGCCGGGGACUCUAGCGAGACUGCCACCGUAAGGUGAGAGGAAGGUGGGGAUGACGUCAAAUCAGCACGGCCCUUAUGUCCAGGGCUACACACGUGUUACAAUGGUCAGUACAAAGGGAAGCUACUUGGUGACAAGAUGCAAAUCUCUAAAACUGGUCUCAGUUCGGAUCGGAGUCUGCAACUCGACUCCGUGAAGUUGGAUUCGCUAGUAAUCGCGCAUCAGCAACGGCGCGGUGAAUACGUUCCCGGGCCUUGUACACACCGCCCGUCAAGCCAUGGAAGCUGGGGGUACCUAAAGUCCGUAACCGCAAGGAGCGGC